CUGGAAUUCAGCAGCAGUGGAUGAGGAAGCAGCUGGGGGCUGGCAGAAUCAGAGGAAGAAUUCACAGUACAGACAGCACACAGGACAGCUCUGAGGCCAUCCUAGUCCACGUGUUCAAAGGUAUCAUGCAAGCUCCAGCCCAUGCGAAGGGGAAAAGAGGCUUCCUUUCAAGGAUAGAAGCAGAAGUUGAAUACAUUCAUUCUCUUCACAGCCCCCAGUCAUGAUUUAGUCUUGUUAUGUUCACAACUGCAAGGUAAGGUGGGGAAAUAUUGACUUUGGUGGGGGAGAAACAUGCCUACCUGAAACUGGAAGUGCUGUCUCACUAAGGAAAAGCAAAUGGAUGUAGGAGAUUUAGCUGCCUGUCACAGCACCCAAACCACUAGUCACAGGUGAUGGUAAAAAGGAGACUAAGGUCAGGAUGAAAGGGAAAGAGAAGGUAAGAGGGAAGGUGAGUAUGAUCAA
rnacentral:lncRNA from 1 species